GAUGAAGAACGUAGCGAAAUGCGAUAAGUAAUGCGAAUUGCAGAAUUCAGUGAGUCAUCGAAUCUUUGAACGCACAUUGCGCCCUGUGGUAUUCCGCAGGGCAUGCCUGUUCGAGCGUCAUUUCAACCCUCAAGCUCUGCUUGGUGUUGGGCCCUGCCCGCUGCGGCCGGCCCUAAAGACAGUGGCGGUGCCGCCUGGCCCUGAGCGUAGUACAUCUCUCGCUCCAGUGCCCGGUGGUAGCCUGCCAGAACCCCAACUCUCGUGGUUGACCUCGGAGCAGGUAGGGAUACCCGCUGAACUUAAGCAUAUCAAUAAGCGGAGGA
rnacentral:misc_RNA from 1 species